GACGAACGCUGGCGGCGUGCUUAACACAUGCAAGUCGAACGGAAAGGCCCUGCUUUUGUGGGGUGCUCGAGUGGCGAACGGGUGAGUAACACGUGAGUAACCUGCCCUUGACUUUGGGAUAACUUCAGGAAACUGGGGCUAAUACCGGAUAGGAGCUCCUGCUGCAUGGUGGGGGUUGGAAAGUUUCGGCGGUUGGGGAUGGACUCGCGGCUUAUCAGCUUGUUGGUGGGGUAGUGGCUUACCAAGGCUUUGACGGGUAGCCGGCCUGAGAGGGUGACCGGCCACAUUGGGACUGGGAUACGGCCCAGACUCCUACGGGAGGCAGCAGUGGGGAAUAUUGCACAAUGGGCGGAAGCCUGAUGCAGCAACGCCGCGUGCGGGAUGACGGCCUUCGGGUUGUAAACCGCUUUCGCCUGUGACGAAGCGUGAGUGACGGUAAUGGGUAAAGAAGCACCGGCUAACUACGCG
rnacentral:rRNA from 1 species